rfam:Rattus norvegicus chromosome 1, whole genome shotgun sequence.
UGUCGUUGGCUUUUAAGUUACAAACUCCCAAAGAAAUAGUUUCCAAAGUAAUGAGUUACUCAUCAACCAACUUGUCACUCACAGUGAAGAAUAUGCCCGUCUCUUUACACAAAUCAGAUAUUAAGGGAAAUGUGACCACGAAGUCAAAGCACAGUGGUGUGGUUUUAGUCAGGUCCAGUUUAGCUAUUGAAGAAAUAAGUUUCAUAGAUACGAGAAACAAAGCUGUAAGAACAAGGUUCUGGGAAUAUAGAAACAAGGUUUUGGUGGUCAGAGUGACCAGGCUUAGUUGAGACCAGCCAAAACAAACAAAGCUGUUCUCGGAAAAAGACCCCCUACACCUCCCUGUGGUGAAUUAAGAGGGAUGGCCGGGGGCAUUCGUCUUGUGCCGCUAGAGGUGAAAUUCUUGGACUGGUGCAAGACAGACCAGAGCGAAAGCAUUUGCCAAGAAUGUUUUCAUUAACCAAG